AUUGAACGCUGGCGGAAUGCUUUACACAUGCAAGUCGAACGGCAGCACGGGGCAACCUGGUGGCGAGUGGCGAACGGGUGAGUAAUACAUCGGAACGUGCCCAAUCGUGGGGGAUAACGUAGCGAAAGUUACGCUAAUACCGCAUACGAUCUACGGAUGAAAGCGGGGGAUCGCAAGACCUCGCGCGAUUGGAGCGGCCGAUAUCAGAUUAGGUAGUUGGUGGGGUAAAGGCCCACCAAGCCAACGAUCUGUAGCUGGUCUGAGAGGACGACCAGCCACACUGGAACUGAGACACGGUCCAGACUCCUACGGGAGGCAGCAGUGGGGAAUUUUGGGCAAUGGACGAAAGUCUGACCCAGCAACGCCGCGUGAAGGAAGAAGGUUUUCGGAUCGUAAACUUCUAUCCUUGGUGAAGAUAAUGACGGUAGCCAAGAAGGAAGCCCCGGCUAACUACGUG
rnacentral:rRNA from 1 species